GCAAAAAUUAUGUUAUUUACUUUUUUUGGCUCGUCAGUUUGUUUGUAAACAGUUGUUUAUCGUGCUCAUACUUUUGCAGGCAAUUUCUAGGCGAUCCACUUUGUUUGAGAUGAUUAGAGAUUAUGAACAAGCAACAAUGGAUCUUCAAAGACUAGUGUCUCUUCUCAUGAAGCAAGUGGAGGAUAAGGCCAAUCAGUCUGGUGCAUCUGAUAGAAUGAGCAGUGUGAAUGAGUUAAGACAAGCUGAACAAUGGUUUCUAUAAUGGAAGAAGCGAGAAAGGAAAUUCACUUGAAUAUGUACCUCAUUUUGGGUGUUGAUCCAGCUGUAACAGCAUCAGAAAUUAAGAAGGCCUAAUGGAAAGCUGCACUCCGACAUCAUCCUGACAAGGCUGGUCAGUGCUUGACUAGAAGUGAGAAUGGAGAUGAUGGGCUUUAGAAGGACGUAGUGGACAACAUUCACAAAGAUGCUGAUAUGCAGUACUUUCAGAUCCUACCAAGGUAUUGAGCAUUGAUCCAAGUGAUCUCCAAUAGCAAUUGAAUUUCCUACAAUGUGAAAAGAAUUGGAUUGUCUAAGCACCAAACCUCUUCUGGUGCAUUUUUGAGGUAUCUUAAAAUUUUUACAAACAACAUCCCACUGUUGUUGUUUCGAGCUUAGUGUGGAACUAGGGGUGUUCAAGGAUCCGAACUACCCGAAAAUCUGAUCCAAACUGUCCGACCUGACCCACCAAGAAGUCUUAUCACCUUGUUCAAUUAAUCUAAUUACUUUUAAUAUUUGUUAUCAGAAUCUUAUAAUUCGCAAUUUGAUUCGCAAUCGACAUGAAUCUAUAAGUGAAUCUAUUUGGGAAAUGAAUCUUUACUAAAUCGCCUGAUUUACAAUUAUGAUUUACAAUUGAUUCA